GAGUCAUUUCAAAAUAAGAGACUUGAAUUUAAGCAUAAUUGCAAUAAUUCUGGAUACUUUUAAAGUGAGAUGAUAACACUCUAAGCUGGUUUACUGUUUGCAACUCAACAUUUGAAGACAAACAUUUAUGGUCUGACUCUGGAUACUGCCUGAAAUCUGACCCAAGGCAUUUUAAGAAGGACAUGUUAUUUAAAGAGAAGAGAUGUGUAUGAUACUCAAACAAACGAGGAGGAGUCAAGAUGCAAAGUAAUAGGUUUUAUUGAACAAACUAAAAAUGUAUUUACAUCAAAUAAAACACUACAGUAUCACAGGGAGCAGAACAUAGACACAGAAGGGAGGAUACACAGAGACUAAAUACUCACAGGGGGUCAUAAAACAGGUGAGGCUAACAAGACACAGGUGGAAACACUCAGCACACAAUCACAAUGGAAGGAACACAGACAGUAAAACCAGACACUAGAUGCAACAACCACAAAAUAAAACAAGCUCUUCACACAGGGAAAAAGACAAAUAUCCCCACCAGAGAGAUUCUUUGGAGGGGGGGGACUGGGGCCUCCUUAAGACCCAGUAAACAAAGGAGCAGGAGUUGGACAAGAGGCUUGAGUCAGUCGAGUCACCGAGCGAAGAACAGGCGUUGCAGGGGGCCACCGAGUGGGGCCUCAGAGCGGUUAACAGAUGUUGGCAGGGCCUCCAGGCAGAGAACAGGGGGCAGCUGGAAAAAGCAGGACACCGCAGGGAAUUGAACCCCGUCCAAGUAAACUAGGAGUGCCAUUACCGGUGUCUUUUACUUUUUGACUCUACAUGGAAGGUCCUCUGCAGUCUGAAAGUCCAGCAGCGAGCAGCGGUCCUGCAGCUCCUGCACACAGUUAAUGGACGGCCCCUGGCUGGACAGUGGGCCGGGGAGGACGGGUGGGGUGGCGCUCUUCUGGCUCAGCUGCUUCCGAGAGGCGACGGGCAGAGCGGGGCUGCGCCGCUGGUAGUCCUGACCCAGAUGUGUGCUGAUCUGAGACGAGCGGAGGCUCCUCAUUUGACCUCGCGCACGCACCUCGUACAGCUCCACCGAGGUUUUCUUAUACCUGGAGGAAACAGACGGCUGUUAUGAUCCACUCUGAGGGUUAAUACGAUCAAACACACACUAUAUCUUUCUCCUCUUCACUAUCCGGCUGAGGAAAGUUCCUCUUACAAACACUGAUGAUUACACUGAGAAUAUUCUGAUGCUUUAAUCUUUCUUUGUCAUGAAUUCAUCACUUCACCUGUAAGGUAGCAGUUAAGGGGAUUUGUUUGUGUCUCUGUUUGAAUAAAACACCUAAAAGGACUCUCUCUUGGACAGCUCUAAUAUUUGGUGAACACUGUGUGCAGAUAUCUUUUCAUCCACUGGUUUUGAAAGCUGAGAGUUCACAUAGACUCACAAUCUGAGCAGCAAAGAGGACAGAACGACUGAAACAGACGAUGCAGCCAUCGCAGCAGAGCCCAUCCAGGGCUGGAGCACGAGACCAACGGGCAUGAACACACCUACCAACAAAAGAGAGCGAUGGGGAUUCCCAAAAGAUUGUAGAUCAGAGCGAAGACAAAAUUGAUCCUGAUCCUCCGCACAGUCUUCUUCGACAGCUCGAUACUCGCCACCACGUCCAGCAGAGUCUCACUCACCCUGAUGAGGACGAUGUCAGCCGCCUCGAUGGCCACGUCCGUCCCUGUGCCGAUGGCGAUGCCGACGUCAGCCCGAGCGAGGGCCGGCGAGUCGUUGACGCCGUCUCCCACCAUGGCCACCCGCAGGCCUUUCUCCUGCAGCUCCUGGACUUUGGCGACUUUAUGUGAGGGCAGCACCUCCGCACACACCUUCCUGAUCCCCACCUAGUGUGUGCACCGCCAACGCUGACUCUGCCUUCACUGUGUCUGCGAUGGCUAUCAUCGCACACAGGACCCCUGCAGAGGAAACCACACAAACCAGCAUGUUAGACACUAAAGUGGGAGGGUGUGUUGUUUUGGACCUGUGUGGAUCUUUGUCUCACCCUCUAUAGCUACCAGUAUAGCAGUCUGUCCUUUAGUCUCAUGGCUGGACAUGGCAGCAUCAACAUCAGCUUCAAUGUGGUGACCGUUCCUCCUCAUCCACUCUCUGUUCCCGAUAAGGACGGUGUACGAUAACCGCUCACCUACAAGCAAAGAUGACAUCAAAAUGACUACAAAAUAUUGAGCUUGCAGAAGGGAAGGAAUCCUCGGGUGAAUAUGUGAGCGUGACUGACACCCUGACUCCAAACAAAGCCCACAGACCUGCAGGCGAGUCCUCUGCAGGAGCGAGCAGGCUGCUUUCAUCCGUUGUGGCUCCGGGCAGCAGAAAUCUCUGCUCACUCUGCGUCUGCAGCAGAUGUUCCACGUUGGAAACCCGGCAGCUGAUCCCACAGCCAGGCACCGCCUGGAAGUCCUGACAGUAUCCCAGCACGUCUGAUCCCAGCUCCUGUUGUGCAAACACAGAUUAAGAAAGGUUUGAGACCUGAUUGCUUUGUGUGGGUACAAAUAAAGCCUGCAGGGAGCUAAAGAGAUACACAGAGGUUGUGGAGUAAACCAAAAUUAUUGCAAACAGUCUGCACAUGCUCAGUCUCACCUCUUUGCAGUGUUUGGCAACCGCCAUCCCCAGCGGGUGUUCACUGCUAGCCUCUGCUGUGCCUACCACCGCCAGGAUCUUCCUCAGAGGCAUGCGGGCCAUUUCCCACAACACCAACACACGGGUGACCCGGGGGACGCCGUUAGUGAUAGUGCCGGUUUUAUCAAACAUCACUACACGGAUCUGAGG